rnacentral:rRNA from 1 species
GAUGAACGCUGGCGGCGUGCCUAAUACAUGCAAGUCGAGCGAACAGACGAGGAGCUUGCUCCUCUGACGUUAGCGGCGGACGGGUGAGUAACACGUGGAUAACCUACCUAUAAGACUGGGAUAACUUCGGGAAACCGGAGCUAAUACCGGAUAAUAUAUUGAACCGCAUGGUUCAAUAGUGAAAGACGGUUUUGCUGUCACUUAUAGAUGGAUCCGCGCCGCAUUAGCUAGUUGGUAAGGUAACGGCUUACCAAGGCAACGAUGCGUAGCCGACCUGAGAGGGGGGUCGCCCCACCUGGACCUGAGAGCCGGUCCAAACCCCUACGGGGGGCAGCGGUGGGGAUUCUUCCGAAAUGGGCGAAAGCCUGCCGGGGAAACCCCGCGGGAGUGAUGAAGGUUUUCGGAUCGUAAAACUCUUUUUUUAGGGAAAAACAAAUGGGUAAGGAACUUUGCCCGUUUUGAGGGUCCCUAAUAAGAAACCCCCGGUUAACUCCGU